UGCAUAAUACUGCUGUACAGUGGAAUGGAAUGGUCUGGACUCUGCCUGAAACAAAGACUAAUGGAUGAGUACUGCAGCAGGCUAAGGUUGGCCAAGGAGUAUCCUUAGUAACAAUAAUUAAGCCUAGGGAGGCUGCAAGAUUAUCCCUGCAGGAUUUUUUGGGAAAGUUUGAGCAGAAUUGCAUCAGUGGUGCCCAGUGUGCAGUGAUAGCUUUGGAGUAGGAGUGCUCCAGAAGACCUCCUGGGCAUCUUUCCAGACCAGUUUGCUCUGAUCAAACAACUAAUUCUGCAAGGAUAAAAUUGGGAAAACAUCGAGAAAUGAGUGAAAGCAGUGGACCAGCUGGGAUCUGUUUACACAAACUGUUAAAGGAGAAUAGACCCCAGAGCAUCUCCUCAGCAAAGCUGCUGAAGCUGUGGCAGGACCAGGGCUGCCUCCCCAGUCAUCCCUUCACUGGUCAGUAUUGAGGGCUCUGGGACCUUGAUUUGAAGGCUGAUAAUUGAAGAUCUGAGCUUUUAAGGCGCUGCAAGAUCAAGUGAAGCAAAACUUAACACUUGGUGAGCUUUAGGAAUAUGAAUGAAGUCCAGAACAUUAAUGCAGUGCUUAAAGGCUUUGCAGCAUGAAUUCCAGAGGUGGGUAGCUGCCUAUAGACAACAGGGUCUGUUCCACAGUAAAUUCUCUGGAUCAGCAUGACUGUCUGUGAAGAGUUCUUGUGGGAGACAAAAGACCCUUGCUUGAGUCCUUUCCCAAAGUGCAAACAUUCACACUGCAGUGACCAGCAGUAAUUGCACACGGUAGUUCCCAAUGACCAUCGUUUCUUUCUACCUUGCUCUGGACUGGAGGAGGAUUGUAAUUCCAUGUUUGGAUUUCCUGGAGGAAUACGGAUUCCUCCACAAGUAAUGGCCUCAAGACUUUUUUGUCAAAACAGGAGGCAUAGUCUACAGCAUCAUGUUGCCUUGCUCUGGCCAUAGA